rnacentral:rRNA from 1 species
GGCGAACGCUGGCGGCGUGCUUAACACAUGCAAGUCGAACGGAGAAUUUAUUUCGGUAAAUUCUUAGUGGCGAACGGGUGAGUAACGCGUAGGCAACCUGCCCUUUGGAUGGGGACAACAUUCCGAAAGGAGUGCUAAUACCGAAUGUGAUCCAUCUCUCGCAUGAGAGAUGGAUGAAAGAUGGCCUCUAUUUAUAAGCUAUCGCCAAAGGAUGGGCCUGCGUCUGAUUAGUUAGUUGGUGGGGUAACGGCUCACCAAGACGAUGAUCAGUAGCCGGUCUGAGAGGAUGAACGGCCACAUUGGGACUGAGACACGGCCCAAACUCCUACGGGAGGCAGCAGUGGGGAAUCUUCCGCAAUGGACGAAAGUCUGACGGAGCAACGCCGCGUGAGUGAUGAAGGUUUUCGGACUGUAAAACUCUGUUGCCAGGGACGAAGGUGCGAUCUGCGAAUAGUUGAUCGUAUUGACGGUACCUGACGAGGAAGCCACGG